rnacentral:rRNA from 1 species
AGUCGAGCGGGCGAGGUUGCUUCGGUAACUGAGCUAGCGGCGGACGGGUGAGUAAUGCUUAGGAAUCUGCCUAUUAGUGGGGGACAACAUUCCGAAAGGAAUGCUAAUACCGCAUACGCCCUACGGGGGAAAGCAGGGGAUCUUCGGACCUUGCGCUAAUAGAUGAGCCUAAGUCAGAUUAGCUAGUUGGUGGGGUAAAGGCCUACCAAGGCGACGAUCUGUAGCGGGUCUGAGAGGAUGAUCCGCCACACUGGGACUGAGACACGGCCCAGACUCCUACGGGAGGCAGCAGUGGGGAAUAUUGGACAAUGGGCGCAAGCCUGAUCCAGCCAUGCCGCGUGUGUGAAGAAGGCCUUUUGGUUGUAAAGCACUUUAAGCGAGGAGGAGGCUACUUGGAUUAAUACUCUAGGAUAGUGGACGUUACUCGCAGAAUAAGCACCGGCUAACUCUGUGCCAGCAGCCGCGGUAAUACAGAGGGUGCGAGCGUUAAUCGGAUUUACUGGGCGUAAAGCGUGCGUAGGCGGCUUUUUAAGUCGGAUGUGAAAUCCCUGAGCUUAACUUAGGAAUUGCAUUCGAUACUGGGAAGCUAGAGUAUGGGAGAGGAUGGUAGAAUUCCAGGUGUAGCGGUGAAAUGCGUAGAGAUCUGGAGGAAUACCGAUGGCGAAGGCAGCCAUCUGGCCUAAUACUGACGCUGAGGU